rnacentral:lncRNA from 1 species
AGUACCAAGCAGAAUAUACAGGAAAAGAUACCAAAUUCUUUUUUUUAUUUUCUGAGCAUGUCCUGGCUGGACCAAAUUAUAGGUAACUAUGAAAUACGGGUUGAAGUCCAAGAAAAUAAAUAAAGGUUUGAGAGGUAAAAAAUCUUAAAUCUACUGUUAUCUUAAUAGUAGAUUGGGUUGUUGCACUAUGUGAGUAAAUCACAAAGUUGUUUUUUGUGGUUGUCACCUUGAUUCCUUGUAGACUUGGGCAGUGUUCUUCCGUCUCCAGAGCUCCUCCAGGUCUCAUGUCAUCCAGCCGUCAAAAACCCCAUCAAGUGAAUGAGAACACCCUCUCAAGAACUGCAAGAUUGAAGAAUUUCAAGUGACAGGCAUAAUGCUAGAAAAGGAGUGGGAGUAGGAAACAGUCACAAUAAACUUUUUAAUAAAGGUUU